GCUCUCAUAGCUUAGUGGUCAGAGCAUUGGUGCGUAAUGCCAUAGGUAACGGGUUCGAUUCCCGGCGAGGGUG
rnacentral:tRNA from 1 species